UUGGAGGGCAGUCUGGUGCCAGCAGCCGCGGUAAUUCCAGCUCCAAUAGCGUAUAUUAAAGUUGUUGCAGUUAAAAAGCUCGUAGUUGAAUUUCGGGAUCAGAGUGUCGGUCGUGCCUCGGUACGCACUGGUAUUAUUGGUUCCUACCUUCUGAAGAACCGCGAUGUCAUUAAUUUGGUGUCGUGGGGAAUCAGGACUGUUACUUUGAAAAAAUUAGAGUGUUUAAAGCAGGCUUACGCUUGAAUACAUCAGCAUGGAAUAAUGAAAUAGGACGUUUGAUUCUAUUUUGUUGGUUUCUAGGAUUGACGUAAUGAUUAAUAGGGAUAGUUGGGGGCAUUAGUAUUCAAUUGUCAGAGGUGAAAUUCUUGGAUUUAUUGAAGACUAACUACUGCGAAAGCAUUUGCCAAGGAUGUUUUCAUUAAUCAAGAACGAAAGUUAGGGGAUCGAAGACGAUCAGAUACCGUCGUAGUCUUAACCAUAAACUAUGCCGACUAGGGAUCGGAUGAUGUUAAUUUUUUAAUGACUCAUUCGGCGCCUUACGGGAAAC
rnacentral:rRNA from 1 species